UGAAUUCCAUUUCGACGUUCAGACUUCAAAGGGUGAACGAAGAACAAAAUCGCCCAUUCCUUCUCCUCUCUUUAUCUCUCUCGAAACCACCGUUUUUCUUCCGCUUUGAUCGUUUCCAGCACCUCCAUUCUCUCUUUCCCUUUCAAAGUUUUGGAUUCUUUUCCUCAAUUUUCACCGAACGUGUUUCUCAGAAAAACACAGCAAAAGUUUCAAGAUUUGGUUAACAACUUGGGUAUAAUUGCAUGCAGCCGAACCGUUGUCUUCAUGUAGUUUUCAUUGCAAACAGUGAUCUAGGUCAUGAGAGGUUCAAGUUCAAGCGUUGUUCUAGGUCACACGUUUGCCAAGCACAGAAGAAAUUGUGCAUCGCGGUCUUUCAAAGGCAAGAUGAAUUGAUCUGCAAACAUGGUUGGGAAGAACCGGCAAUUUAUUUGAAGCAUUAAUAAAGAAUUUGUAGCAGCUAAGGAAGCUCUUAUAUCUUGAUCAAAUGAUGAAAUUGAGAAACUGAGGAUAUAGGAUGAAUUCAGCUGAAGAGAUUUUCUUCAAAUCUUUCUCACUUUGGGUCCAUAGAUGAUAGUUUGAAAUGAACUAUAUACUUCAGCAUCAUUUUCCUUUUUCUGCACUUGGCCUCAAUUGAUACCAUGUAUUGUUAAUGGUGGUUUCAGCUCAUUAACAACCUCAUGAUGUUUCAAAUCAUGCAAAUGGAACCACUGGGAGGGAGUUGACACUUGUUACGGCUCGAAGUUCAAAUGAGACUGCUGAAACAACUAGCAAAUUGAUUGGGUUUGAAGAUGAUUACUUUUGUUUUUCGGAUAAAGUGGGCUGUGAGGGAUUCAAUGACUCAGCUUGCAAGUAAGUAUCUAUUAAUGAUUCAUGGGUUUGUUAACUAUUUUUGAAGAUACUAAUUUAAGAAGUUGGAGAAUUUAGCCUAUAAAAAAUGUCCUAAUUCUGUACUUCAAGUGUUUGUUUGAUGUGUUAAUAAAAGUGUAACACAUCAAAGUAGAAAUUAUUUAGUUAGCGUUCAAUUUUAUUACACUACUCUAUGUAUUUUGUAAGGGAAAAGCUUUUUCUUAAGAAAAUUUAAAGAGAAGAAUCGCAUGAAUAAAUCUCCACCCUUAUUACAUCCACUACCCUUGAUGUGCAAUUGAAUUGAUGGUAUCAUGUCUGCUCGUAUAGAAUUGAAUUAACAGUAUUAUUUCUUGAAAUGGUGGCUUAUAUGAAAUUGAAUUGACCGUAUUGUUCCUUGAAACAGUGGCUAAUAUAUAAUUGAAUUGACGGUAUCGUGACGGUUCGUAUGAAAUUGAAUUGACGGUGUCAUGUCUUGAAAUGAUAGUUGAUGUGUAAUUGAAUUUACGGUAUUAUGUCGGCUCGUAUGAAAUUGAAUUGACGGUACUAUUUCUUGAAAUGGUGGCUUAUAUGAAAUUGAAUUGACGGUAUUGUUUCUUGAAAUAGUGGCUAAUAUAUAAUUGAAUUGACGGUAUCGUGACGGCUCGUAUGAAAUUGAAUUGAUGGUAUCGUGCCUUGAAAUGAUAGUUGAUGUGUAAUUGAAUUUAUGGUAUUAUGUCGGCUCGUAUGAAAUUGAAUUGACGGUAUUAUUUCAUGAAAUCGUGGCUUAUAUGUAAUUGAAUUGACGGUAUUGUGCCGGCUCGUAUAAAAUUGAAUUGACGGUAUUGUGUUGCCUCGUGUGAAAUUGAAUUGACGGUAUCAUGUCUUGAAAUGAUAGUUGAUGUGUAAUUGAAUUUACGGUAUUAUGUCAGCUUUUAUGAAAUUGAAUUGACGGUAUUAUUUCUUGUAAUGGUGGCUUUUAUGAAAUUGAAUUGACGGUAUUGUUUCUUUAAACGGUGGCUAUUUUAUAAUUGAAUUGACGGUAUCAUGUCGGCUCGUAUGUAAUUGAAUUGACAGUAUUAAUUCUUGAAAUGGUGGCUUAUAUGAAAUUAAAUUGAUGGUAUUGUUUUUUGAAACGGUGGAAAAUAUAUAAUUGAAUUGAUGGUAUCGUGAAGGCUCGUAUGAAAUUGAAUUGACGGUGUCAUGAAUUGAAAUGCUAGUUGAUGUGUAAUUGAUUUGACGGUAUCAUGUCGGCUCAUAUGAAAUUGAAUUGACAGUAUUAUUUCUUGAAAUGGUGGCUUAUAUGAAAUUAAAUUGACAGUAUUGUUUUUUGAAACAGUGGUAAUAUAUAAUUGAAUUGACGGUAUCCUGACGGCUCGUAUGAAAUUGAAUUGACAUAUCAUGUCUUGAAAUGAUAGUUGAUGUGUAAUUGAAUUUACGGUAUCAUGUUGGCUCGUAUGAAAUAUAAUUGACGGUAUUAUUUCUUGAAAUGGUGGCUUAUAUGUAAUUGAAUUGGCGAUAUUGUUUCUUGAAACGGUGGCUAAUAUAUAAUUGAAUUUACGGUAUCAUGUCGGCUCGUAUGAAAUUGAAUUGACAGUAUUAUUUCUUGAAAUGGUGACUUAUAUGAAAUUGAAUUCGAGGUAAUGUUUCGUGAAACGGUGGCUAAUAUAUAAAUGAAUUGACGGUAUCGUGAUGGCUCAUAUGAAAUUGAAUUGACGGUAUCGUGACGGCUCAUUAUAUGUAACGGUAUCGUGACGGCUCAUUAUAUGUAACGGUAUCGUGUCAGCUCGUAUAAAAUUGAAUUGACGGUAUUGUGUUGGCUCGUAUGAAAUUGAAUUGGCAGUAUUGUUUUUUGAAAUGGUGGCUUAUUUGUAAUUGAAUUGACGGUAUCAUGUCUUUAAAUGAUAGUUGAUGUGUAAUUGAAUUAAUGGUAUCAUGUCGGCUCGUCUGAAAUUGAAUUAACAGUAUUAUUUCUUGAAAUGGUGGCUUAUAUGAAAUUGAAUUGUCGAUAUUGUUUCUUGACACAGUGGCUAAUAUAUAAUAAUUUAAUUGACGGCUCGUAUGAAAUUGAAUUGACGGUAUCAUGUCUUGAAAUGAUAGUUGAUGUGUAAUUGAAUUUAUGGUAUCAUGUCGGCUCGUAUAUGUCUUGAAAUGAUAGUUGAUGUGUAAUUGAAUUUACGGUAUCAUGUCGGCUCGUAUGAAAUUGAAUUGACGGUAUUAUUUCUUGAAACAGUGGCUAAUAUAUAUAAAUGAAUUGGCGGUAUCGUGACGGCUCGUAUGAGAUUGAAUUGAUGGUAUCAUGUCUUGAAAUGAUGGUUGAUUUGUAAUUGAAUUGACGGUAUCAUGUCGUCUUGUAUGAAAUUGAAUUAACGGUAUUAUUUGUUGAAAUCGUGGCUUAUAUGUAAUUUAAUUGACGGUAUCGUGUCGGCUCGUAUAAAAUUGAAUUGACGGCAUUGUGUUGGCUCCUAUGAAAUUGAAUUGACAGUAUUGUUUCUCGAAAUGGUGGUUGAUAUGUAAUUGAAUUGACGGUAUCAUGACGGCUCAUAUGAAAUUGAAUUGACGGCAUCGUGUCUUAAACUGAUUGUUUGUAUGAAAUUGAAUUGACAGUAUUGUUUCUCGAAAUGGUGGCUGUUAUGUAAUUGAAUUGACGGUAUCAUGACGGCUCAUAUGAAAUUGAAUUGACGGUAUCGUGUCUUAAACUGAUUGUUUGUAUGAAAUUGAAUUGACAGUAUUGUUUCUUAAAGUGAUAGCUCAUAUGAAAUUGAAUUGACAGGAUCGUGUCUUAAAUGAUUGCUCGUAAGAGUUUGAUUUUUUAAUCAAUUGUUCAUCACUCUUUCCGAAGCAAAAUACGAUUAACAGAGUGAGAUGAAAUUUGAGUAAAAGAAAAGUAAAUCUUUUUACUUCAAUACUCUAUAAAUCUGCAGUGCUUUUAAGGUAUUCUUUGUAAGUAUUAUGAAUUUAAUUUACUUUAAGUUUAUCUGAAAUUUUGAUGCAAGAUUUCACAUUUGAUCUUAUAUGAUUUUAAUUUGAUAAAAUGAUAUGAUGAUACCGUGUUUUGAUGUCAGUGAAUCAAAAAUACAAAAAAAAAAGGUGGCAAACGGAAAAUAGGACUCGAAUGUAUGUCGGCUUUUAAUGACCUCUAUUUUGAUUGAACUUUAAUGAAUAUGCAGUUCUCUCAAACAUAUUUAUAACAUGAAGUUCAUGAUAAGACGACCCUAAAUGGAAUGAUAGUUGAAACAUGAUAAAUUGAGAUGAUGGUAUAGAAUGCGAAUUUUAAUAUUUGAGCCUACCUGGUUGGAUUGUAUUGUGCCUCAAUGAUCUUUGAUUGGAAAAUAUGAUAUUUGAACUUAUAUAGUUCUAAAUUCGAUAAAAUGGAACGAUGAUAUUGUGCCCAAAUAAUAUUGGAUGGUGUCAAAUAACCGAUUAUCCCAAAACCUUAAGGUGUUAGGAUAGAGCCAUAUCAAUGGUUUUAUAUUAAUUCUAACAUGCCCCCUCACGCAAGAGCCCACUUGGGCUUGAAACGUGGAUAAUGCAUAGGCCCACCUACCAUAUGCUUAAAUUCCACUUUUUAAUUAGAAAGUGAGGGGAGCGGGGAUCGAACUCUAAACCACUUAGUUAUAGAGGCUCUGAUACCAUGUCAAAUAACCGAUUAUCCCAAAACCUUAAGGUGUUAGGAUAGAGCCAUAUCAAUGGUUUUAUAUUAAUUCUAACAGAUGGAAAAUUUGAUAGAUGGAUUUAUAAAUUGUAUUGACGGGAUCGUGUUGGCUAGUAUGAGAUUGAAUUGAUGGGUUGUGACUUGAAUGGUAGUUGAUAUGUAGUUGAAUUGACGGUAUCGUGUCGGCUUGUAUGAAAUUGAAUUAACGGUAUUGAAGUGACGGUAUUGUGAUAACGUGUUUCUCAGAAGAACAAAGCAAAAGCUUCGAGGUUAGUUUUUCCCCCCUUCUCUAGAAUAAAAUUUAGGAAUCUAGGCCGGAUACCAAAUUUUCAAAAAAAAAUUUAGGAAUCUAGGGUUUUUAUCUUCGGCAUAUUUUGUUUUCCACUUGUCUUGUCUUCGUUUGUUAAUUUGAACACGUUAGGUUACAUUUCAAAUUUUAUUCAUCAAUUUAGCAAAUGAGGGUUUAUAUUUCUGUAAUAUUGUUGAAUUGUUUUACGCUUCCUGUUUAGUAUUUGAUUAUUAUUUGUUUUGUUGUUUCAUACAUUCUUGUUUGAUUGAGGAAAAGAAGCAGCAAAUCAUAUGAACCCUUGUUUGAUUAAGGAUGUCAGGGAUUAUUGUUGGAAUGUUAGCGGUGUUUCUAUUGUAUCGUUAUUAUAUAUCUGCAAAAAUUAUGUUUCUGUGAAAUCCUUGGAAAGGAUCAGUUUUGAGAGUUUUCAGAGUUGUUUAUUUGAUUGCACAUCAUUCCUGAUAAGACAAAACACUUUGACCAUUGUUGACAGAGAUAUUUUCAGCAUAGAACUUAAAUUUUGUUGUAUUGUAAUGUAGGAUUUUUAAUUUAACCAUUUAUAAUGUUUGUUGUGGGUUGCUUAUGUUGAUUCUUACAGAUUUGUUCAAUAACUUGGGUAUAAUUGCAUGCAGCCGAGCCGUCGUCAUUUCAAACAGUGAUCUAGGUCAUGAGAGGUUCAAGUGCAAGCAUUGUUCUAGGUCACGCGUUUGCCAAGCACAAGUCAGCUUCUUCACACAAGACGAAACUGUGCAUCUUGUUCUUUCAAAUGCAACAUGAAUUGAUGUUCAAACAUGGUUGGGAAGAACCGACAAUUUAUUUGAAGCAUCAAUGAAUAAUCUGUAGAAGCUAAGGAAGCUCUUUUUGCUUGAGAUCAACUGAUGAAAAUGAGCUCAUCAACAACCUCAUGAUGUUUCAAAUCAUGCAAAUGGAAGUACGGAACCACUGGGUGGGAGUUGACACUUGUUACGACCCGAAGUUCAAAUGAGAGUGCUGAAGCAACUAGCAAAUUGAUUGGGUUUGAAGAGGAUUACUUUGGUGUUUCUGAUAAAGUGGGCUGUGAGGGAUUCAAUGACUCAGCUUGCAAUUCCUUCUGUAUGGAGAGCCAAACAGAAGCAGCUUUUACUUGGUCAAUUUGCCACAAUGGAUUUUGAUUCCUGGAUGGUUAAGUUUUGUGAUUGCAAACUUAAAAGGUCAUAAGUCUAACUCUCACCAACAAAACUACCUGCGGCACUGCUUUCCUCAAUCCAAGAUCCCCUACAUCCACCGAUGGUGAUCGUUACGUUACAGCUCCUGGUCAUAAGUCUAACUCUCACCAACAAAACUGCCUGCGGCACUGCUUUCCUCAAUCCGAGAUCCCCUACAUCCACCGACGGUGAUCGUUACGUUACAGUUCCUGGUAUGAUGACCUUCUCAACAUAUCGUGAACCGACUUCAUGAUUCCUCUCAUAAGGAGUUCGACAAGAUUCAGAUGUACUCAGAUGGCUGGCUGACCUAGUCAAGUGUAAUUAGUAGAAACUAUUAAUGAACACAAGGACUAAUACCAUGGUAAGGAGUAUGAUCGUUAUGUUACGUUAUGGCUCCUGGUAUGAUGACCUUCUCAACAUAUCGUGAACCGACUUCAUGAUUCCCUCUCAUAAGGAGUUCGACAAGAUUCAGGUGUACUCAGAUGGCUGGCUGACCUAGUCGAGUGUAAUGUGUAGGUAACUUCUUCUUUCUCAUCUUCAUUUUAUUUGUUUCAAUCUGGAUUUCAUUGCUUAGAUUUAUAGGGGUCUCCACUUGAUUGUGCAGCUCUUAUUAGCUUAUUGAUUGGUAAUGGUUUAGAUUUGCGAUUUCCUUAGGUCUUUCCGAAUCUUAUGUUUUGUGACGACUUUUAAUUUUGAUUAUGAUGAUUUGAGGCUAUAGUAGUUGUUCUUGUUGUCCUCUCCUUGUCUAACAUUGCUUUGCACAUUCUCAUAUCCUUUUGUCAUCCGCUUUUUGCCUUCAACUUCCCUUUUGCUUGUAGAAGUCAAAAGUUGCAUAGGUUCUGGUUGGGAACUGUUCAUAGGCUUGAGUAUUUAGGAAUUGAAUAAGUGUUGCUCCUUGGACACUUCUCUGUAUAAACUAUUAGUGAACACAAGGACUAAUACCAUGGUAAGGAGUAUGAUCAAUUGGAAGGGCUUAAAAAUGCUCACUUAUACGGUUUGUAUACAAAAAGAGAAUUUAGCACUAUUUUAAACAUGAGUUAAUAGCUAGGCAAAUGGCAAUACUAAAUCGGUAAAUUCAAGUGAAAUGUAUGCAUCUGCUGUCAUACAAUCCUUGAAUACCAAAAGAAAAUGUAACACCAAGUCUUAGAGUAAAACUAAAAGCCCCACUUAAAAAUUGUCACAUAGCAUAUAUGCUAAAGUAUUAUUCCAAACACAACAUUAAGUGAGCAUAAUUGUCAAAUUUUGAAUCACAUCAAUACCUAGCUCAAACCCUCACUAGUAGAAAAAUGACAUAUUACAUAAGCAUUUUA